UACGUAGGGGGCAAGCGUUGUCCGGAUUUAUUGGGCGUAAAGAGCGUGUAGGCGGCUUUACAGGUCCGUUGUGAAAACUCGAGGCUCAACCUCGAGACGCCGGUGGAAACCGUAAAGCUAGAGUCCGGAAGAGGAGAGUGGAAUUCCUGGUGUAGCGGUGAAAUGCGCAGAUAUCAGGAGGAACACCCGUGGCGAAGGCGGCUCGCUGGGACGGUACUGACGCUGAGGUGCGAAAGCGUGGGGAGCGAACAGGA
rnacentral:rRNA from 1 species